CCAGAGGACCCCUAAACUCUGUUUCUAUAUGUAACUUCUGAGUAAAACCAUAAAUAAAUCAAAACUUUCAACAACGGAUCUCUUGGUUCUGGCAUCGAUGAAGAACGCAGCAAAAUGCGAUAAGUAAUGUGAAUUGCAGAAUUCAGUGAAUCAUCGAAUCUUUGAACGCACAUUGCGCCCGCCAGUAUUCUGGCGGGCAUGCCUGUUCGAGCGUCAUUUCAACCCUCAAGCACAGCUUGGUGUUGGGACUCGCGUUAAUUCGCGUUCCCCAAAUUGAUUGGCGGUCACGUCGAGCUUCCAUAGCGUAGUAGUAAAACCCUCGUUACUGGUAAUCGUCGCGGCCACGCCGUUAAACCCCAACUUCUGAAUGUUGACCUCGGAUCAGGUAGGAAUACCCGCUGAACUUAAGCAUAUCAAUAGCCGGAGGAAAAUUUGUUAAAU
rnacentral:rRNA from 1 species